rnacentral:rRNA from 1 species
AGCAGCUGCGGUAAUUCCAGCUCCAAUAGCGUAUAUUAAAGUUGUUGCAGUUAAAAAGCUCGUAGUUGAAUUUCGGGAUCAAUGUUUCGGUCAUGCCCUUGGUAUGUACUGAUAUUAUUGGUUUCUCACCUUCUAAAGAACCGUAAUGCCAUUAAUUUGGUGUCACGGGGAAUUAGGACUGUUACCUUGAAAAAAUUAGAGUGUUUAAAGCAGGCUCACGCUUGAAUACAUUAGCAUGGAAUAAUGAAAUAGGACAUCCGAUCCUAUUUUGUUGGUUUCUAGGAUCGAUGUAAUGAUUAAUAGGGAUAGUUGGGGGCAUUAGUAUUCAAUUGUCAGAGGUGAAAUUCUUGGAUUUAUUGAAGACUAACUACUGCGAAAGCAUUUGCCAAGGAUGUUUUCAUUAAUCAAGAACGAAAGUUAGGGGAUCGAAGACGAUCAGAUACCGUCGUAGUCUUAACCAUAAACUAUGCCGACUAGGGAUCGGAUGAUGUUAAUUUUUUAAUGACUCA